rnacentral:lncRNA from 1 species
UGAUGCUGUGAUUUUUACCUGGGGCAGCUGAGCUGGGUGGUGUUCCAUCUUGUUCUUGGACAUGUUGCUACAGCCUCCUAAUUGCACAAGGGGCCAGGUGUCC